UUUUUUUUUUUUUUUUUUUUUUUUUUGUGUAUGUGAAGAUUUCCAUACCCAGUUGUGAAGCAUGGUCCAAUUUUAGAAUGCACUCAAUCACAUCCAAAAGGGCAAAAAAAAAAAAAAAAAAAAAGAAAAAAUUAUGUGGUCAUGGCCUGAUUAAAUAAGUGGUCUUUUUUGGGCCAACGAGAACUGUCCACAAGGGAGUGCGGCUAUCUCAUGUCCGAUGGGCUAAUUAAUGUGACCCACCUUAGAUGCCCAAAUCUUGUUUGGACCUGAUAGUGGAACAAGAUUAAUGAAAUGUCUCUUCUAAACGAAUUUUAAUUCACUUAAUCACAAAUUGGAUCUUACUUUGUUUGCUUUGAGCUUAAGUUUAAUUUUUAGGGUUAUUAUCACUUUACCCCCUUAAACUAUAUUACUACUAUCAGUUUACCCUUUAAUGUUAUCUUUUAGUCACUUCACCCCAUAAGUAAUUCAACUCAACAUAUUAAGAAAUUUUGGACAAAAAUAACCUUUUAUUCUAUAGCAUUACUACAUUGUUAUUAUCACUUUAUCCCUUUAAAUUAUAAUAAUACAAUCACUUUAAUCCCUAACAUCAUUUUCUAGGUAUUUUACCUCAUCGUUAAUCUAACUAGUAUGGUAAAAAUUUUUUAAAUGUAUUUACCUUUUUUUUAUAUAUAAAAUUAAAAAUAAAAAGUUGGAAUGGUUAUUCUUCCUUUUUUUCACUUUAAGAGAUUAAAAAAUAUAAAAAUAAAAGGAUUUUCUCAAAUUUCUUUUUUCACACUUAUUAAUACUAUGAAAAGAAAAAGAGAUAGGAAAGAAGGAGACACAAAAUUAGAUUUUGCAAAGAAAGAAAAUAAAGAAGAGCCUAACAUUGUCGUAUUACUUUAAAGUUGUUGGAUUAGAAUUGGAAUUGGGCAGUAAACAGAAAAGUAAAAUAAUUUUAAAAUAAUAAAAAUAUUAAUUCUUUCUUAUUUGUAAUUUUUUAAAAAAGAAUUGAGCUCUCUCUCAAUCUCACUCUCUCCCCUCCUCCUCCCCCUCCCCAUCUUUCUAUUUGUUUUAAUAUUAAUAAGAUUGUCAAGAAAAAGAGAUUAAUAUUUUGACUUUUUUUCUUGAUACUAAAAAGGAGAAGAACUGCUCUAAAUUUUUUAUUAUUUUUAUUAUAUAAAGAGGAGGUACUUUCUUCUAAAGUUUUUUAACUUGCUAAGUUGAUUUAACGGUGAGAUAAAUUGCUUAAAAAAUAACUCAAUGGAGUAAAUUGAUAAUGAGCCUAUAGUUUAAGGGGUAAAGUGAUAAUAAUUCUAAGGGUUAAACAUGUCUUUUCACUUUAAUUAACAAACUCCGUUAAGUUUAACCGUUAAUUUUGGGAUAAAAUGAUUAAAAUGUAACGUUAAGGGAGAAAUUGAUAAUAGAACUGAACGCUAGGGAGUAAAGGGAUGAUAACCUAAUUUUUAUACCAAAUAAGUAUUUAUGAUUUUUUAAUUAUGCCUAUUUAUGUCUAAUUAAGUUUUGGUGUCUCCAUCAAGUUUUUUUCUUUUUUUUUUUGAAGAAUAAUAGGAAGUUAAAUGUACUAUUAUGAUCUUAAAGAAUGUUUACAUAUCAAAAUUUGAAUAAUCUAAUUCGAGACGCAUACGAUUAAUCAAAAAGGGUUGCAUAUAAAAAUCAGUUUCUUUUACUGGGCUAGAUUAGCACAAACCAAACAAUACCAGUUUUUCUUCUGCUUCUCAGCUGGGAGUUCCUAUACAUGAAUUAGACUAGAGCUAGUUGCACUCAACUACUUGCUCUUUCUAGAUGAUAUUAGUUAAGCUGAUAGAAAAGAAAGAGGAAAAUAUGUAACAAUAAAUGCCAAAAAGGCAAAAAAAAAAAAACCAACUAGAAUGUACUAAUUAAGGAAUAAUUAGUAUUUGUAUUAGUGUGUGAGUUGAGUAAAAAUCUCAGGAGUUAGAAUGUGUUAAGUUAGUGAAAUGCCUAAGACUAGCAUAUAAUGAGAUAUUGGCACCAUUAAUUUCUCUGUUCUUUUUUCCUUGGAUGAGCUUGAAUUUUGAUUUGUUUGGAAACUUGUAGUUUGGGGAGCACUUAUGAGGUUGAAAUUUGGAAAAUCAUAUGGUCCCAAAAAUGUGUCCGCCCUUCAACUCAAAAGCUACCAGUAAAAAAUUGCAGUGUGCAGGAAUGGUAGAUAGACACAUGGUUGACUUCAGCUUCUGACUCAUUCUAAUGGUUUAGUUGAGUUCGAUUCUCCAAAAGGGCGACAGUUUUACUUAGGGAGGAAAGGAAAGACUACCAAUUUAGAACAAACAAUUCUUUUGGCAUAAUCAACAAUUUAGAGGACAGAGAAAAGUAAAUAAGUGUACCACAUUUAUGCAAAUUUUGUCACCUUUCCAAAACAAAUGGAUUAAUCAAUCUGCUAAUCUUAACUGACAGUUGUUGACAAACAACAUAUUUUGGAGUUGAUAGUUGUGGAUUGGAUCAGGCAGGCUAGUUGGUGGCCAUUGUGUCUUCCAUAUUUAGUGAAAAAAAAAACUGUUCUUGAUUUUCUUAGGUUGGUGGGAUUUAAUUCUAAUAUGCGUAUCAGAUUAGACAGUUUGCAGGAGAUUCAUAUCUGUAACACUUUUUAGGAAGACGUGACCAAAUCUCCAGCAGGGUACGUUUUUGCCUCCCAUGCAAACCUAUCCUUCAAGGAUUAAUAUUAACUUCACUUCUUUUGGUUGAUAAGCAUCUUCUAAAGUAGUAUUACGAUUCUGUUAAAAGACUAAUCACCUUUUAUAUACGCACGUAUAUACAUACAUACAUAAAUAUGUAUUUAUAUAUAUAUAUAUAUGUUUGUCAUUUACAGCUUAAGUGAGUGUGACAGUUGAUUUUGUUAGGCCCUCUUGACUUAUUAUAUAUGGACACACAAUCACAUACACAAGUAUACAUAUUUGCAAUAUAACAAGAAAAAUUGAGGUCAGGAGGCUUCAUGUUUAAUUAGUAGUUUAGACAUAUGGCCUAGGCAUGUGUGAACCAAAUGGUCACAAGAGAUUGAGGUUUAAGUAAUUGCCCAUGACCUAACAUGUUAGUUGAAACAAACUAAACGAUUCUGCUUCUUCAAUAAUCCAAUGUAAAACUUGAUGAAGAAUUUUAUGAUGGCAUUCAUGAGGCCAUGAUGUUGUGUGCUUUAAUUCAUGAGGUCAGUUGAGAAUUUUGAUGUAAAAAACUCAGUAGCUGUCCUUGACUUUUCUUCUACCAUUAUAUUUAUGUUUUGGUAUGGCGAGUAUUUUAUAGUUUAUACUACUAUUUGGGUAUAGUAGCAACAACUAAUUAACGUAUACCAUCUAAUAAGAAGAGGAUUAAUAGAAUUGGUCGUAUUGAAUCUAAAGUAAUCAAGAAAGUUUAGAUGGAAACUUAAACUCAUUAGUUUGCCACUUCACAUAAUGCUUAUGAUCUAACCAUUAUCUGGAAUGCAAUGGUAUCCGAUAUGCAUGCUACAUUAUCUCAAUUCGAAUUUAAAUCAAAUUAUAUAUAUAUAACAUGCAUCUGAAUCUGUUGAUAUAUAUACUGACAGUGCAUAAAACGUUUACUUUUGAAAUUUUCCAUCAAAGUUGCUCAAGGGAAAUGAUAUCAAUGGUAAUUAACCAAGCACUAUUGCAUUCAUGUAUUAGAAACGGGACAAUGAAAGCAAGAAAUCAUCAAGUGGUGUAUACAGAUUGCAGACUCACCUGGAAACAUGAUCAUUGAGGCAUGUACAGCUACUGAUCCCUGCGUCCAGCUCUCUUGCCAAUGGCAUCAUCACCUUUAACACGAUCAAAUGGUUAAUGGGCUUGGCUGCUGACAAUAUUUUCGAGUCUAGAAUCCAAACUUGGAGCUUCAGAAAAUUUUUCCACCACCGGAAGCAGCUACGUUUGUCCCUGAACAAGAAAUAUAUGGUGGGCUUAUACCUAAAAAGUUUGAAGAUUUGUCUAACUACCCAUAAAAGCACGGAACAUUUAUAUGUAGCAGGAGUAUAUAUAUCUACUUCCAAUUGCAUUGCAUGAUUUUUUGUUUUGGCUUUUGAUUGACCGGUAGUUUCCCAGUAUCUUUACCGGAUUGCUGUUGAAGAAAUUAGUAUGGCAAAGGUGGACUAACCGAACGUUCUAACCCACAAGGCUACCGAUCCAUACGACAAAUAAGUUACCAACCUGUCUUUGAUGUACAUAUGCAUGCCCUAUCAGAACAGGUCUUCCAAUUAGUUUCAAAGCAUUAACUCUUGUGGAGAAUUGAUGGUGGAAAUUGUAGUCUAUCUCUGUUCAAUAUCUACACUUCUAGUUUGUUAAAAAAAAAAAAAUCUAGACUUCUAAAUCUUCUAUUUUGUGACUAUACAAAGAUAGAGGAGUAAACAAAUCUAACCAAGUCAAAUAUCCUAGUAUUUAAACUUAUUUGAUUAUUUUAACAAGACUAAAAUUUUGUUAAGUUUUACUUGUUUAGUUGUUGAAUCGAAUUUGAACGAGUUUUUUUUUUUCAAAUUUGAAAGUUAUCGAACCAAAAAAAAAUGUUCAAUGUUGGCUUGACUAGUCAGCGAACCAAAUUCAAAUAAACUCUUAUUAAUUCGAACUCGAUUCGAAUACGGAAUAGUUUGGUUUACCUUUCCGUGGUGCAAAAAUGUAUGAACGACAUUCGACGCGUUCAACAAGCUACAUCGGUAUAUUUGUGGUACUAAACAGUACCAGGAAUAUACGUAUGGUACCCAACAAAACUACAUCCGAUACUCAUUACUUCUAGUGGAUGAAAAUUUCCCUUCAAGCAUUGAGAAUUUUCCUUGGGUUUUUAUAAGUCGCUGAUAAUGAUAUACAUUGAAUACGAAAAACGUUCAUAUCAUGCUUCUUAGUCAUUGUCUUUAGUAUUCUAAACAACGAGCUCAUUUUUUUUUCCUUUUUUGUCUGGGAGGAAAGGGGAGGGGGCGCAAAUUCAAUUAAAGAGUUAUAAAAACAAGAGUAUUUUAGCUGUAAAAAGAAAUUGACAGAUUCCAUAUCUUAAGGUUUUAAUUCCACCCCAUCGACAUACGUUUAUUUGUCAAGAAGCCCAAAUGAAUAUCAAGUUGUGAAUGAAAUAUUCAUGUGUGCCAUUGAUGGAAAAAAAAAAAAGAAUUAGAGAUGGUUUUGUAAAUUCUUUUUCUCCUAACAAGGGGUUUUAUGCACAGAAAAUUAAUGUUACCACUUAUCAUCCAAAAAAAAAAAGGCAACCAAAAAGAGAAUGAAUCCCAAAUGAUUUUGUCAAAACUUUUGUUGUGAAUGGUGGGCAUAGGGAUAUAGAAUUGUGAAAAAAUUUUCAGGUAUUGAAUUUCUUAGUUAUAAAAUUAUUACGUAGAAACUUGACAUUAAUUUCAGAGCCAAAAAGUAAAAAAUAAAAUAAAAAUGCAGAAACUCCCAAAGUUGGAUGAUCAGUUGACCAAAAAAAUCAACUUCUAUUAAAAAUAAAUAAAAUGCACAAUUUCAAUUUUACCAUUUUAGUUGACAUUACAAAAUAGAGAAAUUCUAACACCCUUUUGAAGAAUCACACCUUCAGCAUAAAUUCUCCGUUGGAUGGUGAAAUAAUUAUUUUGGACCCUUAUAUUAUUUUGAAAUAAUUAUUUAAAAUUUUAACAACAAUCGACAUUGAAAAAUAGAAAUUGAGAAAAUAAUUCCUUGAAGAGACCAUAGAAUUUUUCAAUAAACUAUAUAAAUAUGUGUUUGAGUAAUGAUAGUAGGCAAGAUUGAAAAUUGAGCCCGUUUAAUAUGACAUAACAUCUGAAAAUAAUUACUCCAUGGAGAAGGAUCGAUGAACUACUAAUAUAACUACUUCACCUAAAAUUUUUUGCCUCCACCACUGCUAAAGCUUGUAUUGUAAACCCAAUUAUGCCAAUCAAUGAUAUAGCAAAACAAUUGUUCAAAAAAGAAAAAAAAAGAUUCAAUAGCCCUUGAACCAUUCAAAUGUAAAGGUUCCAGAAACUUGUACUGUAAGAUUGAAGAAUGCUCAUAAUCAUAUUGUGCACGAAUAAAUUUUAUACAGUGAUGAUGGGAUUGCUUUAUCCUUUUGCCUCUACUUUUUUUUUUUUUUUUACUCUGGCAAACCGAUCCUGCGACAUUUGUACUUAAUGAUAUUUCAUAUCAGUUUCAAGAAAAAACGUGUUGCUGCAUGUUAUUUCACAUCAUUCCGUAAUUUGGUUUGAGGGAUUCCUCAUUCCAUGAUCCAUCUCCUUCUACACCUUCCUACAGUUGAUGCAUUUAUUGUUGAGUGUUCUCCUAAUAGAUCCCCAACCAAAAAGCAUGUCGCAGUUUUGUGGUUAGAAGUCAUUCUGUCGAUUAGCAUUUUAUUGAUAGAAUGUUUUUAUUUGCCUGUUUGUGAAUCUCUUAUUUUUUUUUAGGCUUUAGCAUAGUGAACUCAAUAUGCUACACACACACAUACACACGUGUGUAAUGUGCAUGUGUGUUGAACUCUCAUUCCAGGUUCUUUUGCUUCUUGAGUUGAUCAAGAUGAUAGAAUUGAUAUAAUGCUUUCUUUUUAACCUAGGUUCGAACCUCACUUGGAAUAUCUGACCGUCACACAGAAUUUGUCUAGUGCGUCUUAUUUUCCCUUAUAUAAAAAAAGGGCUCCAUAAUGGUGUAUCAAGAAUCAAUCCUGUUCAUCUUUCAUAGUGACACUCAAUAUGUACACUCAUGGAUUAAAGAAAUGAAAGAUGAAAGUAAAGGAAACUUGGCACACACUUGAACAGGUACACAUGGCGAUCCCUAAUCGAUCAAUCAUGCUUAUGGCAUCUGAUCAACGAAAUUAAGCAUUAGUAGAAAUGAGAAAGAGAUUACGUACUCAAUUUAACUACAAUUAUUUUGCCUAAAAGAAGGAACCAUCUAGAUAUGGUCAAUCAGUAAUUCGACUUUAAAAGUGUUUUGAUACAAGAAAAAAAAUUUUUUCCCGUUCCUUUUUGGGUUUGAAAAUCCAGGAACAAAACUUGGUGCGUAGGAACAGUGAUCUGCAUUCUAGUAUUUUCCACCUCAAUUUGACUUUUCUGGGUUUGAGGUGUGACAACUAACACUCCAAGUGCUUCUAUUCGUUGCCGUGAGCUACAGCAAUUUGCCCUUUUAGUUGGAGGUGUGACGAUUGGAUGUACCAUUUUGUCCUUAUUGAAUGGCUUCACUUUGACGGACGAAGCAGUAGCACUAAAGCUGGCUAUGAGCAAAGCAACCACCUUGCAACUAAGGAAAGUGCAAUUCCAAGUGCAAGACAAGCAACUCCUCAACCACAUCCGAACUCAGAAGGCAAGUGAUAUUAGAGUAGCUACGCUGGUGGAAGAUAUUGUCCAAUUGAAAGAGUUGUUUCAUAUGUGCUCUUUUGUCUAGUUAAUAGUGAUAAAAAUCAUCUAAACUUUAGGAUUAGCAUAUAUGCCUUAGGCAUCACAAUUGAUGAGGAACUCUUGUUUUCUCAGUGUCAAGCACACUAAUUUGUAAAGUUAACUCGAGUCUUUGCUCGUACUUGUAUAUGUUUUGGAAGUAAUAUAAUCAAAUAUCAUUUCGAAAAAAAAAAAUGGCUUCACUUUCACAAAAAAAAAAAAAAAAAUUAUGGCUACACAGAACCAUCUAUUGCAUCAGAAAUCAGUCACUUGUCACCAUUGGUGCAUUGUCAUUUGGCACACCGUCCAUCAGUGUAACACGUUAGCUACAUCCUUCAGCAAUUUUGUCAAAAACCAUAAGAUGUAAUUCACUUUUAACAUAAAUUAAAUAUAGAAUAAACUUUUAUCAAUUCCAUAUGUAACGUUAAAAACGAUGUACAUAUGAUGAUAUGAACCUUACACUCUUUUUGAUCAAUCUUUGACGUUAACUAUUCAAGACCGAUCAUUCUCACUGAUGACCGUUCCUGCUCCGCGUCUUGAUGGGCAGCAAGUUUCAGUCUCUUGUCAAGGACAUGACUACCCUGUAAUGUUGCACGGCCACAUUCUUCUGAGAAGAGAAAGCAAUCAUAGGACUUCUUGUUUUAGGGUAGCAAUUAGAUGCUUGCAGUAGCUGGUAAACUACUUUGCAAAGAAUAAUUAUGUCAUAGGUGUUUCUUUGCAUCAAUUAGGAUCCAAAAUUGAGUGUCGACCAUCAAUUGGAGUUUGGAAGAUACGGAUCAAUGUUAAUUGUUGUUCCAUUAUGUGCAACCAAGUGGACGACUACUAUAAAAUAAAAUAUAUAUAUUGCGAACGAAUGAGAUUGAUCAUCAAGCUUGUUUGGCCAUGGUAACAUCAUGAUCUCCAAUGCACGCGUGGGACUUAAAAUUUUAAUAUUUCUUAGUGCAUUGCCUUAUUCUCAUAUCAUAAUUGAGAAAGUCGGCACCAUUUUUUUUAAUGGAGAAAAGGCUAAAUUCUUGGAUGUUAUUGCAUUAAUAUUAUAUGAAAUGUGAGCCCUUUUCUUAUCUGAUUCUAAUAUUCAGGACAAAUAUUAUAUGGUAUAUGAUUCGAUUAGACACUUAUAUUAUGGUAACUUGUAUCUUCAUUUUCAAUGAUUAGAGCUGACUAUUACAAAAGCAUAAGAAAAUACUCGUAGUUAUCAUUGUUUCCAUAUUUGUGGCUUCUUUACUGCCAAUUUGAGGGGGCUUUAGAUCCUCUGUUUCCAAAAUAGUCCCUGUCCCUCUGUCCCUUUGUUAUACAACUGUCACGUGUCUCUAGUUUUUUGUUAACCCAAACUCAAAUAAAUCGAUAAUAAUCGGUUUAUAAGUUUUGUUAACCCAAAUUCAAACAAACCGACUAUCUUUAGAAGUUUUGAAUUAUGAAUAGGCAAGGGUUUGAUAUUACAAACCAACAUGAUAGACCAUGAUUAUUCAAGUAUUAGCAGGGUUUUUAGGUGUACUUAAUAAGAGUGGUUGAAAUUUUAUUACUAUUCUCUUAUUUUUAUUGGGCAGAUGAUUUUGGAAUUUGAUUCUCAAAAAAUCAAAAUCACAUUCGAUCAUAUUUCAAACUAUUGUUAGACAGAUAUUACAUUUUAAUUAUGUUGGUACAAUUUUUUAAUCUUGUUUAUUCACCAUUUAUUUUUAUUUUUUUUUCAAUAAUGUCAAUACCGUGCGUAGCACGGGUAUUCAUACUAGAUAUUGGAAUUAUGAAUUGGAAUUUGGUUCUUUGAAUUUGGGUUAACAAAACUUCUAAACCGAUUAUUAUCGGUUUAUUUGAGUUUGGGUUAACAAAAGGCUAGAGACACGUGGCCGUUGUACAACAAAGGGACAGAGGGGACAUGGACUAUUUUGGGGACAGAGGAUCUGAAGCCAUUUGAGGGUGCCUUGGUGAUUAUGUAUGUAGUCAAUCGCAGACAGAAUCCUCUAUCCAUUAUGUCUGUCCACUUUUCUAUCUAAUAGAAAAUUAUGUAGUUCCACUUACUAAUAUUGCUAAUGUGGCACAUAACAUUGGAUGCAUAUUUAGGGAAUGUUUGAUAAAAUGGGUUUCAAAUUCAAUUUUAACAUGUACGACUUACUUUCUGAAUUAACAUGAUCGCAUGUAACUGCAACACUAACAAGUUCAAGGAUUCGUCCUCAAAUGUUUGCCUAAUCUCAUCUGAAUCAUGCAGUGUGGAAUUUCAAAGUAGAAGGCUAUGAGUACAAUUGGGCAUAAACAAACAUCAUUUAUGGAUAUAAUUGAAUUUAAAACCCAUUUACCAAGCACUCCCUAAAUAUGCAUUCAAUGUUAUGUGCUACAUCAGUAGUAUUAGUAAGUGGAACUACAUAGUUUUAUAUUAGACAGGAAAGUGAACAGAUAUAAUAGACAGAGGAUCCCGUCUGAAUCAGUCGACACCUUUCAAAAAUUUGGGUGGGAUGUUUUUAUGUUCCAUAAUGAUUUAAGCUUUUCGAUCUGGUAUAUAAGAUAAGGAAUGUCAAAACUUUUAAUACCUUGUACAUGCAGAAGAAGUCUGCUUAUAUAGAUGUUUUUUUCUUUUUGAAGUUUUCAUAUAGAAAGAAGGUAGGAAUCAGGAGCAGAGAAAAUCAAGUUGGUUUUGAACAAAUAUGUGAUGCUAACACAAAAUAUACCAAUUUUUUCCUCAUGAACCAUUAGAAAUAUAUAUAUAGGGGUUGAAGUGGACAAAAAAUCAUUGUUCUCCACAAAUUGACUGCAUAUAUAGGUUCAAUGUAGCUACCCUCUUCUGGUUGAAUGGCUGCUGGAUACAUUGGCAAAGUCCUCCUUUUCUAUGUGCUUUAUUGUACAAAAGGACUUGGAAUUCUUGAGGGGAUACGAAUCUGUUCCAAAAUCCAAGAAGGUGAGCAGUACUGGUUUUGGGUGCACCCACCAAACCAAUUGGACACAGAAAGGAAAGCAAAGAUUGAACAGGAAAAGUGAGAAUCUUCUUCUUCUUUGACUUGAAAAAUAAUGAUAAUUAAUCACAGCAAAAGGCAUUAUUAUUCACAAAUGCGCCACGAACUUCAGUAAUUGUCACUUGUCAUGCAAAGUCUUUCUUAACAGUAGCCAUCAAUUAUAAGAAAGGCAUUUGUGACCUGACCAAGGAGUUUCUUUAGCGGCAACUAGACAGUGGAAAUGUGUGUUUUCGCCCCUUUUUUGGGAUGUGCCUAAUUUCCAAAUUUAAUUAUUUGAACUGCUAAAAUUUGAUGUCCUUCUUAAACAACAGAGUUGUACUAAUCAUGAUUAUGCACCAGAAUUAAUUAAUUGUCAUAUCAAAGUAACAAAAAUGAGAUGCGAAAACCACAUUAUAUCUAUGGCUAAAAUGAGAUGAGGGACAAUUGCAUAUAAAGACCCCUUUUCCCUGCAUCAUCAUGUUCGUUUUUAUUUCUUUCUGUUUUCUUGUUUGGUCAAAUGGAGGCUGAAGCUGCUUAAUUACAUAAGGUCAUGACUAAGCACAAUCAUUAACCCUAUUAUGAUUCUCGUUAGGCAAGAAUCAAGCCUAAUGUGGCUCAAUUUAGACCACUGUCCCUAGCUACAUAACAUGGUCCCUAUAAAAUAAUAUGUACAUUGUGGUAAAGUAACCAAACAAUACAUGGAUAUUGACCAUUGAGCGACAAGUUUCUUUCAGAAUCAACAUUUCUCAGUGCUUUUUUUUUUUUCUGGGAAGACGUCAGACAUGGGCAAGUUCAAGAAGGUUUGCGUCUUCUGCGGAAGUAAUUCAGGGUACAGAAAGAUAUUCAGCGAUGCAGCUUUUGAUCUUGGAAAAGAAUUGGUUUGUUGCUUCUGUCUCUCUCUCUCUCUCUCUCUCUCCCCCCAUGCUCUUUUCACAUGUGUGUGUGUGUAUAUGUCCUUUUGUUUUUUGUUUCUGCUCUUUUACAAAGAUAUAUGGAUAGAGGAGCUGGCUUUUGAUUAGUCUUUCAACAGUAACUGAUGGAGAUGGUACAAAAUAGGUGCAAAGAAAGGUAGACCUAAUCUACGGAGGAGGGAGCAUUGGUCUGAUGGGAUUGGUUUCCCAAACAGUAUAUGAUGGUGGAUGCAAUGUUCUAGGGUAUACAUGCCAAAUUUACUCAAAUUCAUUUCGAGUUUAAACUUGAAUCAAAUCAAUUGUAUUUGUCAUGGACUAUUUAACUUGUUUGAUACAGCUCGUCAAAUACUAACUCUGCCUUUGUGUCUAUUCUUUCUCCAUAUAUACAUAUAUAUAUAUAAAGAGUGAUUCCAAAGGCUCUCGUUUCGGUAGAGGUAUGUAUGUAUAUCUGAUUUCAUUGCCAUGCCAAGUCUCUCCAACCCUUUCCCACCUCCCUAUAUAUAUAUAUAUAUAUAAUACCUCUAUCUCUUGGGUUUUCUUGGAGAUAAUUGGUAAGCAGUUGAUUAAUGAGGCAUGAUGAGCAGAUAUCAGGCGAGGCAGUUGGAGAAGUGACCAUAGUUUCUGACAUGCAUGAAAGGAAAGCUGAAAUGGCUCGUAGGGCCGAUGCUUUCAUAGCUCUUCCUGGUAUUCAUCUUUCAUCCUCAUCCCACUUCCUGUUAAUGUUUCAUGCUCAUCCCAAUUUUUUUUUUUUUUAAAAUUUCAAUAUUUUUCAAGCCCUUUUCUUUAAGAAAAAAUUAAACGGUUUGCGAUUGAGGGUGUCAUAUCUAAUUCCCUUUUUUCCUAAAUUGAUUGAGAAUUUCGGAAUUCUUUUGUUUGAAUGAGUGAAUUGAUCAAACUUAUUUUUUAACUUAACUAGCUUGGAACAAUUAAAAAGGAAAAAAAAACCUACUUUAUAAGCAUAUACAUAUGCUAUAUAGUAUUAAUAACUUGAUUAAAAAAUUGCUGAUUUUCUGUUUUGGGUGAUACUAAUGAAGGAGGGUACGGAACAAUGGAGGAGCUGCUUGAGAUAAUAUCAUGGUCGCAGCUUGGAAUUCAUGAUAAACCGGUACGCAUGUUUCAUGUUCCAACACUUUGGCAUCAUUCUUGAGGGCCAUUUUGAGCUAAUAUUUCUGCUAAUCUUUCAUCUGAGAUUAAUGAUUUAUUGGACCACAUCACUUUAUAAUCCAACCUACCCUCCAAUGCAUAGAAAAAGUGGAGAAAAUGCAUUUGAUAAACGUAGAAUGCCUCUAUAUAUGGGAAGGAGGAAUAUAGAGUAAUUCCAUUCUAAUAGUGUCAAUUUGCUACUCUUGUCUUUUGGGACUUUUUUAGUGAUUCAUUUUGAUGCUUAUUAUUUACAACUAACAGCUUCUAUAGCCUUUUUUUUUUUUUUUUUUAUAAAAAGAAAGGGAAUAACUUCUAUGACAUUUAAAUUAAUCUUCAUUGCUUCCAACUUCCUUUUAUUAGUAACAAACAAUGAACAAUUUCUCCAAGAGUCCAAAAAAAAAAAAAUCAAAGGUCAAAAUUUUAGUUUAAGAUUCAUAUUUGGCUUUUUUUCUAAUGUUUUGUAGAAUUUUGUAAAUAAUGUUUGCUUGGUGUUGCCGGCUAUAUAAUAUAACUCUAGGGCCUCAUGGAGGAUUAAGGCUUAAAAUGAUGUAACUUGUCAAGUUGAAUGGAUAUUUCAAGUUUUAGCUCCUUAGUUCUUUAACUUAGAGUAAUUUAAAAAGUUUGUAAUGCUUUAGAAAUAGUGCAUCAAUUCUUCAUUCCAACCUGGUUAAUUUCACUUUGCACUCUUCAAUUAUCAAAUUCCCACUUUGAUCUUUGAAUUUCAAAAUUGGACACUUUAGUCUAUUAACUAUAAAAUCCAUUCCACUUAAGUAAGACCUUUGGGGAAGUGGGAUAGAUUUUAUACUUAAGUCAAAAUAUUUUAGGACUAAAGUGAGAUAACUUUUAUAAUUUAGGGACUAAAAUUGGAUAUGUGUUAUAUUUUAAGGACUAAAGUAAAACGGAUUUAAUAGUUUAUGGACUAAAGUAUCUCGUUUCGAAAUUUGAAGAGCGAAUAGAAAUUUGAGUAUAGUUGGAGGGUGUAAAGUAAAAUUGAUUCUUCCAACACUGGGGAACAGUGCAAUCAAGGAUCAAAAUUCGCGCGUUUUAGCAAAGAAACCUCGUACUACGAUUUCGUUUAGUUAAUACUCCCAGCCCAUUUUGAUAGUCUUAAUUUUUUUUUAUACAAUUUAAGAAAAAAUGUUAACUUUGUUGGAACAAUAAAUUUAGGUUGUUAUUUUCUAAAAUACCCUUAUAUUAAAUAAAGUACAACUUUAUAUUAACUAUUUAUGGAAACUUGAAUUGAUGGUUUAUGGAAACUUGAAUUGAUGAUUAAGAAAGAAUUAAUCCUCAUUUUACAUUAUUUCACAUUUUGGCUUGAAAGAACAACAAAGCUGGCUUUUCAUAUAUCAAUAUGUUUUGGAAAAUCUAAAUGUAUUAAAUGGGUAUUAACAAUCUAUAUUAAAUAAGGUAGUUUAUAUUAAUAACAACCUACAUUGAAUAAGGGUAUAUUAGAGAAAUUAAAAAUAACUACAUUUUCAAUUGGAAAGUGGACUACAAUUUGAAACAAACGAAAAAAGGAAAACAUGACUAUCAAAGUGGACGGAGAGAGUACAUGCAUGCUUCUUAAUCAAUUCCUUUUAUUGGUCCAAGUACCUAAAAGCCUAAGGGCUUGUUCCCAACUAAUUCUAAUUCUGUAAAAGUUGAUUUUCUAGAAUUGAUUUUUAAAAAUCAAAUUUAUUUAGAGUAAGUCAUGUGUUCUCAUCUAUAGUUAGAAAAUCUAUUUUUCUAAAAGCAUAGACAUUCUUAAACAAAGUCGUAAAGCUCAUUUUGACAAAAAAGAAGACCAAAUGACACUUAUAAACUGCACAAGUGACUUUUAUGAUAAUUAAAUAAUUUUUUAUAUAAUUAAUUAUUUUCUUAUGAAGAUUAAAAGUUGGGCAAAAAAAAAAAAAGGAGAAUAGGGACAAAUUAAUAAUAUGAAUCUAGAGCUGCGAUUGUGAAUAGGAAGAAAUGGUGAGAGACAUGUGGCAAAAAAAGUUAUAUAGUAAUCUUCAAGUAGAUUAGUAGUUAAGUCAAAAUUUGAAAGAUAUUUUUGUCUAUAUGAAAAAGUAGGCCAGAAUCAACAUCUAAAAGCAACUUACAACAUGCUUCUGAUUUUCAGAUUUUUUGGACUCGAAAAAUCUAAAAUUAGAUUUUUUAAAUCAGUUGAGAACGCAUCAAAAUUGUUUUUUGAAAAUCAAAAACUAAAAUCAAUUGAGAACAUGCCUAAAACUAUAAUAGAAUGAGAAGUCGGUUUCCUUUUUUUUUUUUCUGGAACAGUUUCCAUUAUUGGCCCUAAAUGAUAUUUUAAAAUAACUAGCUUAUUCUUAUUAUUAGUCGACUAUAUAAGGUUGUGUUUAAGUGGUACCAAGAGUAUCCUUUCAAGCAUCUAGUUUGUUUUGUAGAUUUUAUAUCAAAUAUUUUGCUAUAAGAAAAAAGAAAUCUUGAAAUGACGCCAAUCACCGGAAAUAAUUUUUGUUGCAAAUUUGAACAUUUUAUUAAUAUGAAACUAUUUUGGAGAUUAAGAUUAGAAGAAGGAAAAGUUUUCACUUAGUUUCCGUUGAGUUAUUGAGACGUAAAAGUACUAAUUUUUUUUUUAUAUAUGUUUAUAAAUUCAUUUAGUCUUUUUUUCCACAAAUACUAUACAAUGGUAUGGUAUGGUAUGAAUGAAGCCCUAUAUUUAUCUUUUUUAUUUUCUAAUUAUGUUGGUAUUAAUGCUAAUAUUGCUCAUCAUCAUUUAGCUACUGCAUUUAUUUUUUUUCUCUUUGCCAACUAUUUGUAUAGAACUAAUUUCGAGAUUGAACACAGUAUUUUUUCUAAUCUCCCUUUUUAUGUUAAUUCUUUCUGUGACUUCAAAAUGUCAAGCUUAAGACACUUUCCAUACCUAAAUUUCCAGUCAAAUCAAUUGAUUACCCCCCCUCCCCUUUUUGUCUCUUUGAAUUUAAUUAUUGGAUAAAAAUGGGGCAAAGGAAUGUGAAUGACAAUCAAAUUAAGAGUCAUUAUGAGUAACUAAUACACUCUUAUGCAAUUAUUACUCACAACAGUACUUCAUUUAGUCAAGCGAAGGACUGAGUAUUGUUGAAAUAGAAUCUUUUAGACUCUAAAAAAAAAAAAGGGAACCCCCCUUUUUGUUGCUAUAAUUUCAGAAGUUAACUGCUUUUAUGCAGUUCAAGUAGCUGAUUUUUUGUCCAUAGUUUAAAGUUUGGUAACAAUUGGUGUGGUUGGGGGAAGUGAAUAUAAAUAAAAACUCAGGGACCACAUUAUAAUAACUAAAAGUAUGGAGGUCAAAUUUUCAGCUCUAAUGGUGCAAUGUUAAUAUGAGGCUCAAAGUGGAACAACUACUAAAAGACUUUUUUGUUUUUUCUGUAAAAAAAGAAGGGGAUGAAUGCAGUCAUCAAUAAGAUUGUGAUAUAAUUAGGGCCAAAAAGGAAGAGAGAUGAUUUUGCAACCAAUAUUCACAAAAAAUUGGGUUUUAGCCAUGCAUUUCUUUGAAAUAGUUUGUCAUUUAUGGCCCUCGAGAUACACGCAUUAUUGCACUUCACGUCUAGUUUGAUUUGGUCAUUUGCAUCAAUUAUAUGCAUCGAUGGAUUCAGUAUUUUAUCGAUAACUUUUUUACCUCACAUGUAUCAAAUCACUGCAGUAUAUUUUUUGACAAAAUUUUCAAAAAAAUUGCAAUCCGAAUGAGCUCAUAAAUAUUUUAGUAAAACUCCAACACAAUAUUCUCACCAAAAUAACUCACUAUUGCAAAACAUCAACUCUCAAUAUACAUGACACUCCUAGUCUAAUGGUCUUUAGCCCCCCACUCGAACACCUAAUGAAUAUUUUUUGCUAUUAACAUAUCCAAAGAACAAUAUAUUCAGUAAACUAGGUUGGAAAUCUCAUAAUUUACUUUUCAAAUCAUCUAUAAGAUGAUGAGACUCCUUGUUCUACCAUGGAAAGCAGAUAAAUUGCCUUCUACACUCUAUUAAAUUUAUACACCACCAUGCGGUGCAAUGAAAUUAGAUCGAUACAGAAUCUACUUCUGCAUCUAACUCUAAAAUAAAUACAAUAGUUAAAAACUAAAGCGUGUUUAUUAAACACUCGUUAACAAAAAUCAGUAUCAUAAAUAUUUGCAUAUUUUUUAAAGAAUUUUUAGCAAAGGGUGAUUGUUUCACAAAUUGCAUUUACAGGGUCUUCUAUCCUUGAAUCUCUACUAGUAAUAGGCUAAUAGUAAUAGCCCUCUAAAUUGAUCGUAGCCAACCAACUCUUUGGUAGGUAGCUUCUUCCUUAGUAAACAUAUAGCCACGAGUGGUGUAUUGCGAUUUGAGCAAAUUGGCCAAGAUGACAGACCUGCACAGGUCCUUUGUACUAAGAUGAUGUAAGGCCACUCAAUUGACAUUUGUCCAAACUCGAUGGAGAUAGCCUUGAAGGGGACUUCACACCAGUUUUUGAUGUAAUUAUAUACUUGCAACAUAAUCAUGUCCAUCCACUCGAGAUCAUAUCCAGUCCUAUGUAGGACCAUAUUAAAAUUGAAUGUUUGGUGGGAUAGACGAAAUGUUGUGAUUAGUUUUAUCCGGUCUUUUUUGGAUUUGUUUUGUGAGAUUCCGUCCAAUCAUUGUUAGUGUUUAAAUUUUUGACAUAUAAAAACAUCAUAAUGUUAUAUUAAAUAAACGUCAAAUAUUUUGUAUAAGUAUAUCACUUUUAUCUUGAAUAUAAUGAUGUAAAUAAUUAUACACCAAAUAAUAUAAAAAAAAGUACAACAAUUGAAUCGAAUCGUACCAAAUCCCAACCGCACUGCCCCUCUCCCGAUCAUUUGGUUUUUUAGGUAGAUACUGAUGACCCUUUUUUUUUUUUCUUUGGCGGAAUGGAUGCAUUAUUUGUUUUCAAAUAUGACAACUUCUUUCAUGACUAAGGAGCUUUCCUGCGGUUUGCUGAAAAGUAUUUAAACCAAAAUUUCUGCAGUUGAGAUUAUAUAACUUCAAGUGGUCAAAAAUCGAAAUGAACAAAUCUCGAGUUUAAGAUGAUGUUAUAAAUUACAUGAUGAAUGAAUGAAAUGCCUGAAACAGGUUGGCCUCUUAAACAUUGAUGGAUAUUAUGAUUGCUUGCUUGGAUUAUUUGACAAAGGGGUUGAAGAGGGAUUCAUUAGGCACUCAGCUAGACAUAUUGUCAUAUCUGCACAAACUGCUGGAGAGCUUAUAAAGAAGAUGGAGGUACAACCUGCUGUUUUUGUUUAGCCUUUUGUGUUCAAUCAAAGUCAUCAUCCAUUUCUCUAUAACACAGAAAAGACACUGGAAUGAAAGAAAGUGAAACAUUAACUAAUUUAAUGAGAAAGUGGAAUUGGUGUUGUUGUUUUUUGUGGGGGGGGGGGGGGGGGUUGGAAUGUUUUAACUUGGAAGUUAGGAUAUCAGUAGUUAGAAUGGUCCUUCAAACCAAGAAGAUACAUUACUAGUGCAGCAGGGGCCCAAAGUUUGACAAUAGCAUCUUCUUUGCCAAAGCAAAAUGAAGAUUACGUUUUGAUAGAUGUAAACAUCCCAUACAACAAUCAUUAGACCAAAACAUCAUGUUCAAGCUCAGCAACAUUGGAACACUGAGCUUAGUCAUGUCAUACCGUCUAAACUGCAUUGUAUUUCCAAGCAACCUAUCCUGUUCAGGUUCCUCUUUGGUUCAGACCCUUCGUCAUGUACGGCCGCUAGCCUUUACAAAGAGUGGGGGGAGGGACAAAGAAGGAAAGAUAACCUUCAAGUAAUGGAAAAGAAAGAGAACAAAGAAGAACAAACACACAACUCAAGGGGAGGAGGGGCAAAAAGUUUGAUAAGGAAGCAUUCUGGGCAAAGUAGAAUGCUAGAUAUCGUCAUACUCAUAGAUCAUACUGAAACAAAGGUGUCAUCAAAUUGGCGUUUCUGAGCAAAGAUUACUUUGUGCUGACUUACUGCUAAUAUCUUGUGCUUUAUUUGCAUUUGCAGGAAUAUGAACCAUUGCACGACAAAGUUGCACCAAGCCAAAGUUGGGAUGUUAAGGACUGUAAACUUGCAAAGUCGUAGUCAUUUGAAUGCUUUUGCCCAAGAAUGCGUUCAUACUCUAUGUAACUUCCUAUUUGAUAUCUUUUGUAAUGAAAAUCUACAUAAAUAGAAAUGUCAUUUUUUAUAAUCAAGAUAAAGUCAGAAAGCAAUCUUGAGAGGUUUCGGCUGUCAUUCCUAAGCUUGACACCUAUAAAUUGCAUUGGUCCUCCUAAGCUUGACCCCUAUAAAUUGCAUUGGUCCCUCGAGUGGUUUUCAACAAGACGCUUGAAUCAAGUAAAAGAGACCACAAGUAAUUCAAAAAGGAACUGAAAUUUCAAUGUCAGAUAUAAAAAUCCUGCCAUGUGCAAAUGGAGAAGUUUAAAGUACUUUUAACAUUAUCAUCACACUCCUCAUACCAACAUGCACACAUACAGAAUUCAUAUUUCUGCAGAGGAGAGAAAAACAUUUUAUCUUUGCCAUCCACCGUGGAGCAAGUAGAGAUGCUUAUAGAAACUUGUGCUUACACCAACUACCAAUAGGAUGCUUACAGAAACAUGUGCUAACACCAACUAAUACCAGGUCUGGAAAUGCAUAGAUGUUCUUCUGUUUAAAUUAAUGCAGUGAAAUGCAGGGACGCUUUUAGGCUGUUUAGAAAACUAAAAAGAAACUGUUGUUAAUCAAGAAACUUUUCAUUCAAUGGAAAAUACCUGAGUUCAAGUGCGCAAUGCUAUUAGGUUCAGAACUGUCAAUAAAAGAAAUUAUCUUCUAUUCAGGAUCUAUGUUAUUAGGACCAAUUUUGUAAAACCCAAGGAUUUGCGAAAAGUCUUAAGAAAAUAUAAGCAACUCUUUAGAUGAACUUGCAACUACCAACUAUUUAAGACAUAUUUGACUAACCACGCAGUUCAUCGUUAGAUGCAGCCAAUGUUAGAUUAUGAGAGUAGUAAAGCAAACAAAAAAGGAGUUGUGGAUUGAAACAGGUUACAAGAGAAUGACUGCUCUGAAAUAAAUCUAUCUAUCGUACAGAUACAUGAUAAGACCAAGAGACGAUCAAUCAAUACAAUAAUGUACCAUGAAUGAGUAAAAUCAACAGCACCCUGAAAUAAACUCAGUAUACUCUUUCAAUACAAAAUACAAAAGGUGAAACAGGCAAAAGAUUCUAUCCAACCUGUUCAGGAUUCUGCGAU
rnacentral:lncRNA from 1 species